UGGGGAAUAUUGCACAAUGGGCGCAAGCCUGAUGCAGCCAUGCCGCGUGUAUGAAGAAGGCCUUCGGGUUGUAAAGUACUUUCAGCGGGGAGGAAGGCGAUAAGGUUAAUAACCUUGUCGAUUGACGUUACCCGCAGAAGAAGCACCGGCUAACUCCGUGCCAGCAGCCGCGGUAAUACGGAGGGUGCAAGCGUUAAUCGGAAUUACUGGGCGUAAAGCGCACGCAGGCGGUCUGUCAAGUCGGAUGUGAAAUCCCCGGGCUCAACCUGGGAAUUGCAUUCGAAACUGGCAGGCUAGAGUCUUGUAGAGGGGGGUAGAAUUCCAGGUGUAGCGGUGAAAUGCGUAGAGAUCUGGAGGAAUACCGGUGGCGAAGGCGGCCCCCUGGACAAAGACUGACGCUCAGGUGCGAAAGCGUGGGGAGCAAACA
rnacentral:rRNA from 1 species